rnacentral:rRNA from 1 species
GUGCCAGCAGCCGCGGUAAUACGUAGGUGGCGAGCGUUGUCCGGAAUUACUGGGCGUAAAGGGUGCGUAGGCGGAUGUUUAAGUCAGAUGUGAAAUCCCUGGGCUCAACCCGGGAAUAGCAUUUGAAACUGGAUGUCUAGAGUGCAGGAGAGGGAAGCGGAAUUCCUAGUGUAGCGGUGAAAUGCGUAGAUAUUAGGAAGAACACCAGUGGCGAAGGCGGCUUCCUGGACUGUAACUGACGCUGAGGCAC